rnacentral:rRNA from 1 species
CCUACGGGAGGCAGCAGUGAGGAAUAUUGGUCAAUGGACGAGAGUCUGAACCAGCCAAGUAGCGUGAAGGAUGACUGCCCUAUGGGUUGUAAACUUCUUUUAUAUGGGAAUAAAACGUUCCACGUGUGGGAUUUUGUAUGUACCAUAGGAAUAAGGAUCGGCUUACUUCGUGCCAGCAGGCGCGGUAAUACGGAGGAUCCGAACGUUAUCCGGAUUUAUUGGGUUUAAAGGGAGCGUAGGUGGAUUGUUAAGUCAGUUGGGAAAGUUUGCGGCUCAAACGUAAAAUUGCAGUUGAAACUGGCAGUCUUGAGUACAGUAGAGGUGGGCGGAAUUCGUGGUGUAGCGGUGAAAGGCUUAGAUAUCACGAAGAACUCCGAUUGCGAAGGCAGUUCACUGGACUGCAACUGACACUGCGUCUCGAAAGUGUGGGUAUCAAACAGGAUUAGAUACCCCUGUAGUC